UACAGAGGUGCCAAGCGUUGUUCGGAUUUAUUGGGCGUAAAGGGUGCGUAGGCGGCCAUACAAGUCGGAUGUGAAAUACCGGAGCCUAACUCCGGAACGGCAUUCGAAACUGUAUGGCUCGAGAUCUGGAGAGGUGAUUGGAAUUCUCGGUGUAGCAGUGAAAUGCGUAGAUAUCGAGAGGAACACCAGAGGCGAAGGCGAAUCACUGGACAGAAUCUGACGCUGAGGCACGAAAGCUAGGGGAGCAAACGGG
rnacentral:rRNA from 1 species